UCUUGCUCUGGGAAACUCCAAGGGAAUCCAAAAUUGCUCCUCCUAAACCCUCCACUCUUCUCGCCCCCGAACCCUCCCGUUCCGAUUAAGAAGCAGAUCCAUGGCGACUUCUGCAAAAGAUAAACAUACAUCUCGAUUCAAUGCUUCAGAGAUCGAGAAUUCGAAUCCGAAUCUCUCGAGCAGAAGUCCUCUGCAGAAAACAGCGGAAUCUCCGGUUAUCAAAUCGGCAAAAUCAGAAAAAUCUGCCCCAAAACUUUCUUAUCAGAUCGUUUCUCCCCGUACCAAGAUUCAAGAAAGGAAAUUCGUAGUAGCCAAGAAGAAGUCGAAGGCAACCACUUCUGUUGUUGUUUCAUGCAAAUGUCAAGAGAAGAUGGGAGGUGAUCUCAAGAAAUGCCCUUGUAUUGCUUACGAGAAUCUCAGAGCUUCUCAAGAAGAGUUUUUCAGAAAUGAACAGGACUUCUUGAUCUGGUUCAACAAAUGUUGAUCUUCCCCGGCGUUGUUUGAAGGGAUGGUUCGUCACUCCCAUCUGUGGUUUGGGACGCUUUUUUUAAUCUUCUCAGGCGAUGUUUGAAGGGCUCUGAUGCUGCGAGACGCGAUUGUAAAUAACUUUCUCUCUUUCUUGGCCAUCUCUCUUAUGUAAGGCAACAAGAACUAAGAAGAGGUUCUGUCGAUCGGUCAUGGCGAUCUCAGAAAAGCUUAUGAAAUUCAAAUAUCAUUUCAUCGCCGGAACUAUUGUUUCACUUGUGUUCCUGUUGCUGGUCCUAAUUGCGCCCAGAUUCGUAAUCGUGAUUGUUUACUUUUGGCCUCUCUUCCUCUCUACAGCCAUGUUUCUCGCCGCCGACGUCGUCUUUAGUUAUCUUGAUAAAUCUUCAUAUGGUUUGGGAUGCUUUUUGAUCUUCUCAGGCAUUGUUUGAAGGGAUGGUUCGUCACUCCCAUCUGGUUUGGGACGCUUUUUUUUAAUCUUCGCAGGCGACGUUUGAAAGGCUCCAGAUGCUGCGAGACGCGAUUGUAAACAACUUUCUCUCUUUAUUGGCCAUGCGAUCCCAGAAAAGCUUAUGAAAUUCAAGCAUGUUUCUCACUGCCGAUGUCGUUUUUGGUCGGUUAUCUUCAAUGGAACCUGAAGAUUCCGGGGAGAAAAGCAGGAGAAGGGAUCUUAGAUUACGUUGUCGUACAACCAGAGCUGGUGGAGGAAGCGGAAGAGGAGACUCAGAAGACCCCGAAAUCUGAGAAAUCCGACAAUAAAGAAAUGGUUUCGAAUCUCGAGUUUCAAAUAAGUAGAAUCAAGCCCUAUUUCUCUUUUCUUUCUUUCUUUCCUUCUCUGUAACUUUCUAUCUCUUUCUUUCCGAUCAUACUGCUCUGUCCUUGCGGUCUCACUUUGUCUUCUCUCUCUCUCUCUUCUCUUUCUCCUCUCUCCAGUUACUAGUUACGGGUCUUGGGUUUGUUACAAUUUGUACAUGUAGCCAAGGUUUUGUUCUUUCGUCUGUAAUUUGUUUCUCUCUUUUUGUAGGUAUCUCAUAGGGAGUAGUGUGUUAUAUCGUCCUCAUCUCUCAUUAAACAAAUCAAAGGAAUGCAUGGAAGAGUUGAGGAUACUAAACUUGUAAGGUUGCUAGAAGAGCCUAUUUGUGAGGAAUGUCGUUUGAUAUAUCAUCUAGAUAUUUCUGCAGUGUAUCCAACAUUAUUUUAACAAACAGGUUCCAGGUAUGUUUGGUGCAUUCUCCUCACGUUGUCAUUGUGAAUAUUGUUCUACUGUUUAUCUGAUACCUCUGCUCAACAGUUUAAGUAUGUUCUCUAUUUGGAUUGACAUUGUUUUUAAUAGUAAGUUUCUUUUUCUAUAAGAAAUUCAAUGCAAUUUCUGUGUUUUAGUUUCUGAUAAAAUUUACUGCAGUGUGCCUACAUCUUUUGUGGCUAACCUAUAUCCUUCUUGGAUGCAUAUUAUAUGAUCUUGGAGUAAAUCUUUUAAUAAUCUAUUAUUGUAUGAAGUAUAUGAUCUAUCAUAUUGAAUAAGAUUUGUGCAGUGAUAUGUCAAACAACCAUCUUGAUGGACCUAUCACCUAUUCUUGAUAACUUUUUGGAGCUUUCUCACAUCCAGAAAUUAUUACUGUUUACUAGAAAAUAAUUCAUUGAAUGAUUCUGCUCCAUCCACCACCUGGUUAAAAUAGUACUUCCAGUUAUGCUGAAACACUUGCUUUGUAAGACUUCAAACACCAUAGAACACCUUUUCUUUCCCCCUGCCCACCCUUUUGUUUCUCUUUCUCUUCAGUUUUAGUAUCUCUUGUAUCUUACCAAGAAUCAAAGUCCAAGGUCUUGCAAAAAUAUGUAGCAACCCUAGGGAGUUGGUUAGAAUUCUUGUUGAACUUUACUUCACAUUUCUUUUUUCAGGGAUUUCCUAAAUUACUUACUAACAAAUAUUUCUAGGAGUCUUAACCUACCUCCAAAGGUCACCAUCAGGUUUGCAUCUGCAUUUACAACUGCAUUUCUGAUAUCAUUCAGGACUCAAUAUUUCUCUUUGCAUUAUCCAAUCUUCUCAAUUUGUGAUUGAAUUGUUCUUCACUUCAUGUUAUGCUCCUUAAGAGCAGCUCCCUGAGAAUUAAUUAUCUGGGAUUAAUAUAAAUUUUCAUUGUUUUGAUGAAUAUUAACUUAAUAUGGGUAUAACUGCACCUCCAAGCUCUCUUUUUCAGAAAGGUUGAGUUUCUUUUUAGCACUCUCCUCCAGGAAGGUCUUGACUACUCUAGCUUACUUCACCCAAUCAGUUGGACUUAGGUCUGCCUCUCUAAAAUGGAAGGGAGCAUGGGCCUAAGAAUAAUCAAGGAUGUCAAUUCCUUAAGAGAGCUAGGAGGAAUGGAGCACAUAUUUGAUUAGUUCUAGGCAACCUGCAAAAGGGAGGAGGUUACCUUUCCAUAAUUGCAGCUGCUAGCGUAUAAGGUCCAAAAUAGAAUUGCAGUGAUGCUAAGACAGCUCAGAGAGAGUCAAGGGGAGCCCAAGGUACUUACUCAGAUGCUGCCCAAGGAGAACCUGGAUAGAACCAACAGAUUGCAAUUUUUGGUCUUGGAGGCACUGGCUGAGAAUAUAGGGAUUUAUGGAAUUUUAUAUGGAGGCUGAAAAAACUAUCAAAGCGGUGUAGACAAGAACAUGAUGGUCUCCACUGAAGAAGGGGUGGCUUCGGAGAAGAUCAUGAGAUCAUCUAUGAAGGUCAGAUGGUAGAUGCCGAGAGCCAUGCACUUCGGAAGGGGGAGAUAAGAAGUUUGUUCAUCUUAAAUUGAAUACUUUGGAAAGGAUCCAAAUUGCAGAACUGAAAAUAUAUAGAGAUAGGGGGCACCCCAUGGAAGCGCUAAAGAACCCUGUAAGACUCCUAUUAAUGAGCACCAAGAAGUGGGCUGAAGAGAGAGAAAUUCUGAUCCAUUUAACAAAGGGCAUUUUGAUCAUCACAUCCCCUAUAAAAUGCCAUCUCAGAUAGUCAUAGGCUUUUUGGAUGCCAAUAUUCAUUAGCGCAACAUGUGGGUGGUUUUUCCUCUCAAAUCUUUUGACAACCUCAUUGCAAAAUUGGAUGUUAUUGGAAAUAUGCUUCUAUCUAGGAUAAAUGCAGAUUGGUUGUCACUAAGUCAAUGACCAGCUUUAGCCUAUAAGCAAGGAUUUUCCUGAUGAACUUAUGGAGCAUGUUGCGAAGGGAGGGACCUUCUUUCUUGGAAACAAAGUAAAGUGUGAUUAACCUCUUUUAUUUGAUUGGGUUUGUAGAAAAAACUAAGCAAGGCUUUGAUGGGGUGGUCGCCUUUGAUGAUGCUCUAGGCUAAGGAGAAGAAACCCAUAUUGAAGCCAUCUUGACCAAGGGCUCUACUAGCCUUAUGAGAGUGGAUGGCAACAAAAAUCUCUUCCUUAAAGGGGAGAGCCUGAAGGGAUCCAUGAAAGGAUUGGAAAGGAAAUUAUUGAGAUGGAACUUAGGGAUAGCUUCAAAAGAGGGGAGGGGAGAAGGUCUGAAUAUCUUCACAAAUUAGUCCACAACAUCUCUCUUGAUGUCUUCAGCCCUUAAAAACUUGGGGAAUUGUCUUUAGUAAGGAGAAUAGAAAUGGAGUUGGCAUCGGUUCUUGCUCUUAUGGGUUAUGGAAAUAAUCAGUGGUGGAAUCACCUAGCUAGAGCCAUUUGAUUCUAUCUUCAUAUUUUAGAUCUCAUGCGCAAAAGGCUCCAACUUUGGAAGGGAAAACUUCUUUCUUAUGCUGAUAGCCUAGAAUUGAUUAGAUUUAUCCUUCAUUCCUUCUACAUCUAUUGGUCUGGUAUUUUUAAGUUGCCUCGGACCACUACCUAGGAUCUGGAAUCCCUUAUGUGUGCCUUUCUCUAGAAAGGAUCUGAAGCUUCUAGAUUUCUUCACCCUAUUAGCUGGGAUUCUGUUUGUCUUCCUAAAGAUGAGGGGGUCUUGGUAUGAGAAAAAUUAUAGAGGUCUAGCACCCUCAAAUUGAUCUGACAGCUUGUGGCUAAGAAGAAAAGUUUUAUCUUCUAUAACUAGUAUUAAUUGUGUUAUGCUUCGUACUAUCUACUUAUGACAUACAAGGAACUGAAAAUUUUGAAAUCCAUUUUCUAUUAGUGAAAAAUUAUUCUAUUGGAUAUAAGUGCCCAAGAAAGCAGGGCUUGAUAUUAUUUCCCCCCCCCCCCCCCAAACCCUCUAAUCGUAUACGACAAAAGAAAAACUUUCAAAAUCCCUAAAACUCUUACAAGUCCAUGUAUUAUAACUGAUUGUAGCCUGUGCAGAAGCUCGAGGUUUUUCCAUAUAUUAUUUACUUUUGGUGAAUGUUUUCCUCUAUGAUAUUACCUAGGUUAUAAUUAUCAAACUUCACAUUUUGGCAGGGUAACGCGUUUACAAGUGUAGUUAGGUUGAUUAAUCGAACACUUUUUUGGACCAAUAAAAAAAUUCAUUACAAUGAUUGAAUGGGAGGGAACAAGCAAAACGCAAGUCCUUGCCUUUACAAAGAGAGGAGAGGGCCAGCCAAAAGGAAGUUGACAAGCCCCACCGAAACCAACACGCUAAGAAAAGAAGGAAAAGAGAAUGAUUACAACAUAGAAACUAGGCCCAACCUGAAAGAACCGUACAACCCAGGGUAGGAGGAGCCUCAAAGCAAAAGGCUCACCAAAUCAUAACAAGAUGUCAUGAUAGAGAGCAUGGCUACAAAUUUCCAUACUUUGGACGGAGGAUUUCUCAUUAUUGGGCAAGGAAUAGAUUUUAUAAGGGUAGGGAAGGGGGCUAUUGUCAUGCCAAAAGUAGAUACAAAUGGGGACCACGAGGGGUUGAAGGAGGAACAUGGGAGGAUAUGGAGGGGAGCGGUGGGACAAAGAUGGGUGCUCCUGGGGUGGAGAGACCAACACAGGGAUGGGAUUAGGGGUGAGGGAAUAAAGGGGGGAGGAAUGGGUGGGUCCCCAUUUAGACCUAGAAGGCUGGAUCUAAAGAGGUUAGUGAGGUUGUUGGGGGUAGGCCAAGUGGGCCAACAGAGUAGGUUCGAUGUGGAGAUGGGGCAAGGCGAAGUGAGAGUUGGGGUGGGGGCGAAUACUGUCUUUAUUGAUGGUGACCCGAGGUGCUUGGGCUGAACAAGUUUCAAACUGAGUCAAAUAAGGCUCUAGGGUUUUCUCUUAGAAGAAUCCUUGAUUUAGAUCAAAGUAAGAGAUGUUUCUUGCAGAGCACACGAUAGGUGUUUAAUAUUUGUUAUAAUCCAUUAAGUGGGGGAGUCUUACGGAGGUGGUUUGGUGUUCCAUAUAUCUGCAGCAAAUUCCCACUAGCUAGGAAGAUAUGGGUCCUUGAGUUUUGCCUAGAAAUUCUCCUCCAGUAGGUGUCGCAGGAUAUGAACAGAACAACACCAGUAGCAGAUCAUGGUAGUUAGUAAAGAGCCUCCUGAUAUGCUUUGAACAAAUCAAUUAUAACCUACAGAAAAUUAAGGAAAUAAAAGGGGAAAACAAAAACUGAUAGAAGGAUGAGAAGGGGAAGAAUGAUGUGGAUUAGGCCUCUCACCCCGCGAAUAUUUUUGGGCAUCUGAACCGUAGAAGAUACUAUUCAAUUUUUAUCUGUCAAAAUCUUUGCCAAAAGGCAACAAUUACUCCUCUUAAUGGAAACAAAUAAUAUAAGAAACUAUUACAAAAAGGAAACUAGUAGGGAAAACAGAAAUUGAUCCUAUUUAAAAUGUUUCCUAUUUGAAAACUAGUUUUUUCUAAGAGCAUAAAAUCCUAUUUUUAGUGACUUUCUAAUUUUCUUCCUCCAGCUGUAUCUUUGCUGAUCAAGCUUCACAAUAAGACAAAAUAACAGCCCAAUGCUGAGAUUGGUAUCAAGGAUUUUAAGUCUUUUAGAAUCUUUCCUAGGAUUUCCUCUUACUUGCUGGUUAAGUCACAUGAAUAAGACAAAGCAACACUCAAACUGAAAUCGGUAGAGGGAUGUUUGUCCUCUAUAGAUGGCUUCUUCAAGGCUGGACUGCUGGGAUCAAUUGGCUGGUCUUUGCUAGUCCUCCUUACUAAUGCUAAUCAAGCCAUCUACAAUAAUGAUCCAAGGGUUGGAUCGAUGGCUGUAAUAGGUGGAAUAAAGUAGAAAGUUUGGAAACAAAUUUAGCAAUAUCCCCAAAACUAAAAAUCUAUUGAGCAGAUCAAUACCAAGGAUGUCCUGGGACCUGGUCAAUGGAGAUGGACGUCCAAAUAUCUCAGCCAACUGAGGGCUGGAUAUAUAGAUUUUACUAGAAAAUAGAAAGUAGUUUCUUAAAAAAAAAAAGCUUACUGUUACUAUUGAUGGGAUCAAUUGAUGAAGCCUUUAUUCAGAUUGAAGGAAGGCCCUGGAAUUUAGGUCAACACUUCAAAAGGUCACAAGGAUCUGAUGUUCCAAUCAAGAGAUAUAAAGAAUAGAUGAAUUCAGAAGGAAAAUAGAGCCAGUAGCUUGGAAGCACAGGGUGUAGGAUGUAAUAGUGAUGGCUCCAACAACACUCUGUACACUAACGUUAGUUCCUUCCAACGUACACCAACGUAGUUCCUUCCACAACAGCACAACAAACAAUGGUCAUAGCUACAAGUGGCCAGCGCCAAUAGGCCUAAAGUUACUGAGAACUUAAAAUAGAAACAAGAGAAGAAGAUGGGGAUAUAACUAAGGCCUAUCACCUAUGGCUUUGGUCAGUAUCUCACUAAGCCCAAAGGCAUCUCUUACUUCAAUACCGUUUCUUACAAUAAGAGCAAGACAACAAAGGCACAAUAGCCAAUUUCAUUAAACUUCAAUUAAAAUUUUUUUUUUAGGGGCUUUAUGGCGCUUACAUUAUAAGGAAGAGUAAUCAAGUGCACAAUGCUCCCACUAAUCCCUUCAAAUGAAACUAAUAAAAAUGGAAACUACUAAAAGAAAGGUCCACACAUUUAGUAGUGGGUCCUUAUACAACAAGUAACUAAUAAAUACAAACUAAGGAACUACUAUAUAACAAAAUAGAAAGCAAAGUAACUACGUAGCAAGCCCUGGAUGGCUAGUUUAACCUAAACUCCCUUUGUUGAGGCCAGAAGAUCUGAAGAUGCAUGUAUAGCCAAAUGUCCUAUUUACCCUUGUUCGGGUCAAAACAUACCCUGGAUGGCCAGUUUGACAAAUGCACACCCUUGCAAAGAGGUCAAAAGAUGACUGGGAUCGCAAAGUGUUAGAUUUACCUUGUUGUGGUUUGAGCAAUCGGAUCAGAUCGAUAUUAGGUUUGACCGAUAGUGAUUGUUGGCCGAUAUCGUAUUGGUGCAAAUGAGGGGUAAAGUGGUAAAAGUGGCUUUAUGUGUAAAAUCGGGGGUAUUUUUGUUUGAUCUACAACAAUCUGAAUCGAUAUCAACCUUGAUUGAUCCCAAUCCGACACCAAGUUCUCAAACCAUUUGUGGAAGACUCGGAAUAUGUAACUUCUCUUAUUUUAUUAUUAUUAUUAUUAUUUUUGUUUUUUUGGGGGCUAUGUAGAUCUUGGUAAUCUUUAUUCGAAGAUGGUGAGACAGUGCAAAUACAUUCUGUGCAUUUAACCCAACUUGUGUUGCUGUUUUAAUAACUCAUCAUUGAUGUUACUAUUAUUCAAGAGCCCGGAUCCUCUCCUAGACACUGCAAGUUGGUUUAUGGACCCUGCCCCUUCCUUCCCUAUGACCCCGCCCUGCCAUUACACGUAAUACCUGCCUCUCUGGAAAAUCUACCCCUGUAAUUGUUGCCACUCUCUACCUACAAGCCCGCAAUCCCCGGUAUCUCCCGCAAUUGCUUCUGCUACAAACCUUAUCACCCCUGCUAUUGCCCCUGAAUAACCCCGUCUCCUGUUUCCCUUCUCUGUAAGCACUCCUCGCCUUUGGGGAAAACUGAACAAAUUAAUACUCAUUUAUUACUAGACAAAAAAGUCAGAAGCCUUGAAUCACACAUUACCUUACAAUUCUCAGAAGCCUUGGGAAAAAUAGAAAAAAUGAACAAAACAUAGUCACAACAACCCUCUACUCCUAUUCUCCUUCUUGUCCCAUCUAGUCGAAAUAAUAAAUUGAAAAUGUGUGUGAUGUCUUUGUGAGUAAAACCAUACAUAAUAUAUGUUGUCUAAAUUUUUAAAAAGCAUUGUUUGCCUGACCCUCCUCCCCGACCCCACAAAAAUAAGCAUAUUGAUAUAUUUUAUUGAUCCCGAUCAAUUUUAUUAGUAAUUUAUGUCUAAUAUGUGGGAAAGUGAUUGAAAAUUUUUUGAUAGUUUCUUCCGCCAUAGUUGAUUCUAUACUAUCCAUGCUAUAAGGUUUGGUUGCACAUUACCUUACAAUUCUCAUAAGCCUUGGGAAAAAUAGAAAAAAUGAACAAAACAUAGUCACAACAACCCUCUACUCCUAUUCUCCUUCUUGUCCCAUCUAGUCGAAAUAAUAAAUUGAAAAUGUGUGUGAUGUCUUUGUGAGUAAAACCAUACAUAAUAUAUGUUGUCUAAAUUUUUAAAAAGCAUUGUUUGCCUGACCCUCCUCCCCGACCCCACAAAAAUAAGCAUAUUGAUAUAUUUUAUUGAUCCCGAUCAAUUUUAUUAGUAAUUUAUGUCUAAUAUGUGGGAAAGUGAUUGAAAUUUUUUGAUAGUUUCUUCCGCCAUAGUUGAUUCUAUACUAUCCAUGCUAUAAGGUUUGGUUGUUCAAGAGUUUAUGGAGCUGGCUGCAGAUCUGAUGCACCGACGCUCCUUUUUAUUAGGGCUUGGAACCAGCAGCAUAAUAACAAAGGCCUGGCUGGAUUUUCUCGGAUUGUUGACUUACAGAUUCUGUUGGUUGAAUCAUAGAAAUAUUGUUUAAGUUCCCGAAGGUAGUUGCAGCUUUUUUUCUUGAUUUUUUAGACGUAAAACUGUUUUAGCCUAAUGGUUCAAUCCGAUGGCCUGAACAACAAAUUAUAGUAGAUUAAAUAUGUGUUUAAUGGCCAUGGCACUGGCCUGUAAUUUUCUUGAAGACCAAAACAUGAAACCGGAUUCUGUUUAGUAGUCUAUAGUUUGACCAACAAAUAGUUUAAUCCAGGAUUGAACCGUUGACCUUCUAUGGUGUGUUUUUUAAGCAUUAUGACACUUGGUCUAAACUGUCCAAGGAUUUGUGAGAUCAUUGGUUUAAGAAAGAGGCGACUACUAACAUUGUUUAAUGCAUUUGGUGCCACCUAAUUUUUCUUUUGAUAUUCACACUUUUUUCAUGUUUGUAAAACUAUUUAUUUCCUAUCAUUACAUAGUGUCCUACUGAACUUCUGAAUACUAUUUGAUUAAUUUUAAUUUUUUGUGGUACAUUCAACUAGUUUUCGCUAGCACUAUUAUGGUGGAGCUUGGUGAAGAUUGGCUUACAUCAUAACUUUCUGAUAAGAGUUCCACAAAACAUCUCUUCUUUUGUAAUUAUAGUUUCAGUUUUUGACUGUGUUACAUUGCUGAUUUCUUUGCAAUUUUAUCUUUUUAUGUAGAAUCGAAAGACCAUGGGCAUGGGGGACUCAUCUGGCUCAUAUACUAACAUAUAGCAAAACCUCAAACUUUAUUAAUCCAGAUUUUGAGUUUUGGAAUAGUUGCAUUUCGAAAAGUCAACAGAACACUCCAAACAAGUUCCAACGGUGAUGUGAAAUGCGGGUCAAACUUCGUCAAUGGAAGGGGAAAAUUACAAUGAUGGACUGAUUCAAUCCUUACAUGAUGCAUAACAUAACUCAUUAUUGAAGAUCUUUGGGUUUUAUACUAACUGGUUUGAUGUAGAUGGAAAUGCAUGGGUGAAGGCACUAUCUUAUCAGAUUAAGCUUUACAUGUACUGGAGGUUUCGAGGCAGUUUCAGCGUGAGAAAAGCGAUAGAAGAGCGGUUACGAGGUGCAUCCAAGAAUUAAGGAUUAAAGGGAGGUGAUUUACUCUGUUGAAAGAGUCUCAGAAUGCAGGAAGGAUGAAAAGCUCUCUAGCCUCAAAAUCAAAUGGAAGCCUCUUAAUUGGUGUUCCCAAAAUCUUGUAACCAUUUGUCUUGUUUGUUUCAUAGGUAUGGUCCUCCCAACUUGGAAGUAUAUCCUUAACGAUUGAGAAUGACCUUUGCAAGUAGAUGGACAGGACAUCAGACUUUAAAAUAAAUUUAUGGAACUAACAAUUACACUUGGUAUGCUCUUUCAUAUUACAUCCUUUCUGAAAUGCCCCUUUUGAUGAUUUAGGCUGAGUGAAAUUACAAUUAUUACUCCAAAUGGCCUAGGAUGGAGAUUCAACUUGUGGCAAGUGUCUAGACAAUGUUUUCUUUUUGACUUUUCAUUGAUUUAAUAGCUGAAUAUUGUUAGUCUAAUUAUUUAUUUAUUUUUUAUUUUAUUUCUUUAUAACAACAACAAAAAAACUCAGCCUUAUCCUACCUUAAUGGGGUUGGCUACAAGGAUCCAUGAAAAAGGAAAUUAAAAUACAUAAUUAAAUUAAAAAUAACAAGUAAAUAAAUAAAAGGAGGGGGAGAUGAAUAGAGGCAGAUGAAAGUAAUAGGAAAGAGGUCCAGCCACUAAGUCAGUGCUUGACUUUUAAUGAUUUGUCUAGUGGUUGACUUGUAAUGAAAUCAAUAAAUCUCCACUGGUUGGGUUGUGGCUGCCAAAUCUUUUUGCAAAACAAACAUUUAUUUUGUUAAAUAUCCAUGCAAACAUUUUUUUUUUGUCCGAAAGCUUGUGUCUUUGGUAUACGCAUUUAUGAUAUGCUUGUUUCCCUUGCCACUUCCUUUAGGUUUUAUGUUAUGUGGUCAAUUAUUCUCUGAGUAAUUUAAUUUUAUCAGUACCAUUCUGAAAAGGUGCUUUCUUAAUUUGCAAGCAACAAAGUAUUAAGGAAUAUCACAUACAUGUUUGGAUGAAUGUAUUAAUAUUCUUAUCAAGUCGUAUGACCAUGGCCAUUGAAAUGCAACAAGUUAUCACCUAUCUUUAUCCCCUUUGCAAAGGAUCUAUAUUAGAACUCUUUUUAAUUUUUUGUUUUUUUUUUAAGAUAGAACAUUCUGCCUUUCAUCUUAGGUAAGGCAAACCGCUCUCCUUUAAGGAAGCAUCUAGUUCCAUCUUUCUUUCGUGAGAAGCACUUUACCAUUGCCACUGCCCUUUUAACUUAUUGAAAGAUAAAUUUUUACAGAAUUUAUAACAAAAUUUUAUUAGGGUGAGAGCCUGAGAGGGGAAUGUAACUCUUGUAUCUAUGGAUGAGAACACAUUUACAGGGUCGAAUUCUGUAGAAUCAGAUAGUUUGAAAAUGAAGAAUUGUUUGUAUAGGAAAUUAUAUAUCAGAAUAUUAAGAGAUCAAACAUAUAAGAGUAAACAAGUUGUUUUUAUGGUAAGAGAAUUUUCAAACUAUCACUUGCAUUGCCUCUUUCAGACACCUGUAACAAUGGGCUGAAAUUGUGGUUGAACAGAAAUAGUUUCUUACUGUGUUUGCAGGUUCCCUUAAAUUAUUAUAGUUUUAUUUCACUCUCUCUCUCUCUCUCUCUCUCUCUCUCUCUACUAUGUUGAAUGUAUGUCUCUGCGACAGAUAAGCGGUGAACUAUGACAUUCGUGGGGAAGGGAUUUGGCAUUGGAGUUUUAUAGAAAUCACAAUCUUCUACAAAAAAUGUUAGAAUGUUUUUAUUCUCUCGCCAUAUUUUAUUAACAAUGAAUAUUAAUGGAAGUACGUUUUCAUCCUCUCUCUCUCUCUCUCUCUUUAUAUAUAUAUAUAUAUAUAUAUCUUUGUCACACAGCUUGAAAGUCUGUCCUUGCAGCAGAGAAGUGUUUCACUCAUGACAUUAGUGGGAAAGGAAAGGUGAUCGAAAUUGGGGUUUAAUGGAUUUUCUCUUUUGUCACUAUACCGAGUGAAGUAUAAGCUUCACUAAAAUGGUACGGUUAAGAGUGCCGAGCAUCUCAUCUUAAAUACUUGGUGAAGCGAUUUUAAGCAGUCUUUUCUCAUCUCACGGUAUCUACAAUUUUCAAGCUUUAUUUCUCAUAUGAAGCUUCAGUGGGAUUCCAAAAUUAUGCAUCUAGUCAAUCUUUUUAUUUGUUUCAUUUUUAAGUUGCAAAUUUUACACGAUCUUUGAGAUAUUGUUGGCAGGAUCUAAAGAAACCAACGUCGUGGAAAUCCCUGUCAAUGAAGAGCAUCAACAGAAAGCUCCAGUCUGCUGUAGCCACAUUUUUUCCAGUACAGUAGCACCCAUUAAUGGAAAUCUCACAGAGUACGGGUCAUCCGUUGCAACUCAAGCUCUGGCAAAGAGAAUAAGACCUCUUCUGGCGGCGAAUUGCCAUGAUGGAGACCCUAAUGGACAAUAUAAAAUGGGGAAUUAUUUUAGUUGUGUUGUUUUAUUCUAAUCCUUACAUAGAUUUUUCCUUAUCAUUUUCUUAAGCUUUUCCAGUCGUUCACAAGAAUAUGCUUGUAGGAGAUGGUGGUUUCUAUCUUUGCUAUCCGUAAUUUUUUCACUUCCUUAAUCCAUUUGAUCUAGAUGACCUGCAAAGUUUCAAGGUAGUUGCAGAGAGACAAGUGAUAGCAGAGCAGUUUUGAGGUGCAUCCAAGAAUUAAGGAUGAAAGGAGGAGUUUUGAUAUGUUGAAAGAGCUUUAGAAUGCAAUGAGGAUGAAAAGCUCUGGAAUUGGAAAUCAAAUGGUAGCUUCUUUCUUGGUGUUCCCAAAAUCUUCUAACCAUCUGUCUUAUUUGUUUCAUAGGUUUGGUCUUUCUGGCUUUCAAUUUCCUUUGUGGUUGAGAAUGAUCUUUGCACAAGGUAGGAUGGGAAUGCAGGCUUAUAAAAUAAAUUUGAACCAACAACUAUACUUAGUAUGCUCUUUCAGAUUACAUCCUUUCCAAAAUACCCAUUUUGAUGAUUUAGAUUGAGUGAAAUUAAAAUGACAAGCUAUAAAUGUCCUGCUAUUUAGAUUCUACUUGUGGCAAGUCAUAAUCUCUUGUCUUAUAUUUCCUUUUUUUUAGUUAUUUGCCCUUCCCCCUUGUACCUCAUUGUAUAUCCAUCUACUACAUAUCUUUAUUUUGGGCCCUAUUUCUUUCUAAGUUGUUAAUAGUUCAUGGUUAUUAAUAUUUGAAUGGUGUUCUUGUUAAAUUCCUACAUCUUUCUCAUUACUAGUAUUUCUGUUGGGUUUCUUGUUUAAACUAAGUUUUGAACUGUUUAUGACAAGGAUGCACUACAGUAGUAUAGACUAUAGACUGGUCAUUCCCCUAAUUUUUAACACCCUGAAUUUUGAGGCAGCUGAAUUCCAGUGUUGGGAUCUGGAUGAGAUAGGGGUACUGGACUGUCAACCUAUGAACCUCACACAUACAGUACUUUAAGGGAGGAAUUGACAGAUUUACUAGUAAAAUAGGAGGGGUAAAGUAGUCUAGAGUAGUGGAAAUGGUCCCAUAUCUAAAGGUUUGUACAGCACGAAGGUUUAGACUGUUGAGGGCCCAAAAAUAAGGCAACCAGCAGGUUACCCUCUGGCAAACCGGCCUGCUGGUCCGGGUAAUAGAAUGCCAAAAUUGGGUUUUUCAUCAGUGGGCCCCAGCCCUUUGUAGUAUGACUCUGCUCACUUACACCAUGUGUAGAGGCAUAUUUAGGAAUCCUAAUUCACUAUUUACCUCAAAGGGCAGUAGGGUCUAAGUGGUGCAAUUACAAUCAGUUACUCUCACAUCCUCUUCCUCCACCCCCCACCCCAUCAAUAUUGUUUUUGUUAAGAAAUAGAGAUAAAAGAUGGAGAAACAUUACCUCUCACAGGGCUGGCUGAGGAGGAACCUAAGAGGGGGAACCCCAACCAAGGCUUCCUAGCCCAAUGCUUUCGAAAGCGACCUAAAAUUAGCGCUCAUUUAUUGCCAGACAAAAAAGUCAGAAGCCCUGAAUCACACAUUACCUUACAAUUCUCACAAGCCUUGGGAAAAACACAAAAAAUGAACAAAAUGUAGUCACAACAGCCCUCGACUCUACUCCUAUUUUCCUUCUUGUCCCAUCUAGUUGAAAUAAUAAAUUGAAAAUGUGUGUAAUGUCUUUGUGAGUAAAACCAUACAUAAUAUAUGUUGUCUGAAUUUUUAAAAAGUUCUGUUACCUUACCCUCCUCCUUGACCCCACAAAAAUAAGGAUAGUGAUAUAUUUUAUUGAUCCUGAUCAAUUUUAUUAGUAAUUUAUUUCUAAUAUGUGGGAAGUGAUUGACAACUCUUUGGUAUGUUCUUCCACCAUAGUUAAUUCUAUACUAUCCAUGCUAUAAGGUUUGGUUGUUAAGAGUUUAUGGAGCUGGCUGCAGACCUGAUGCAUCGAUGCUCCUUUUUAUUAGGGCUUGGAACCAGCAACAUAAAAACAAAGGCCUGGUUGGAUUUUCUCGGAUUGUUGACUCAUAGAUUCUAUUGGUUAAAUCAUAGAAAUAUUGUUUAAGUUCCCAAAGGUAGUAGCAGUUUUUUUCUUAAUUUUUUAGAUGUAAAAUUGUUUUAGCCUAAUGGUUCAAUCCAAUGUCCUGAACAACAAAUUAUAGUAGAUUAAAUAUGUGUUUAAUGGCCAUGGGACUGGACUGUAAUUUUCUUGAAGACUAAAACAUCAAACCGGAGUCUGUUUAGUAGUCUAUAGUUUGACCAACAAAUAGUUUAAUCCAGGAUUGAACCAUUGACCUUCUAUGGUGUGUUUUUUUUAAGCAUUAUGACACUUAGUCUAAAGUGUCCAAGGAUUUGUGAGAUAAUUGAUUUAAAAAAGAGGCGACUACUAACACUGUUUAAUGCAUUUGGUGCCACCUAAUUUUUCUUUUGAUAUUCACACUUUUUUUCAUGUUUGUAAAACUAUUUAUUUCCUAUCAUUACAUAGUGUCCUACUGAACUUCUGAAUACUAUUUGAUUAAAUUGUUUGUGGUAUAUUAAACUAGUUUUCGCUAGCACUGGUAUGCUGGAGCUUGGUGAAGAUUGGCUUACAAAAUAACUUUCUGAUAGGAGUUCCGCAAAAGAUCUCUUCUUCUUUUGUAAUGGUAGUUUCAGAUUUUGGCUGUGUUAUGUUGAUGAUUUCUUUGUACUUUUAUCUUGUUAUGUAGAAUCGAAAAACCAUGGGCAUGGGGGACUCAUCUGGCUUAUAUACUAACAUAUAGCAAAACUUCAAACUUUCUUAA